UGUCUUCUAAAUAGAGACCCGUAUGAAUGGCUAAAUGAAUAUUUAACUGUCUCCUUUAACCAAUCAGUGAAACUGAUCUUUCAGUUAAAAAGCUGAAAUAAUAAAAUAAGACGAGAAGACCCUGUGGAGCUUUAAACUUCUAUCAAAAUAUUAAACAAAAACUAUUUAUGAAAAGAACUUUUAAGUUGGGGCAACUUUGGAGAAAAAAAGAACCUCCAAGAAAGACAUUGUCUAAACAGGCACACCAGCCUAAAUAAAUGACCCAGUACUACUGAUCAACGAACCAAGUUACCCCAGGGAUAACAGCGCCAUCUUCUUCAAGAGUUCAUAUCGACAAGAAGGUUUACGACCUCGAUGUUGGAUCAGGACACCCAAAUGGUGUAGCCGCUAUUAAAGGUUCGUUUGUUCAACGAUUAAUGU
rnacentral:rRNA from 1 species